AAAGGGCAAAAAAAAUAAAAAAUAAAUAAAAAUUGGAAAAAACAAAAUCAUAUUUGAUGCCCCAGGGUUAAAGACCAUCAAGCAUUCAAUAUUUGGUUCAAUUCAAAAGGACAAUGGUUAAAAUAGUAGAGUGGGAAAGAGAAAAGUGGGUAAAGGUGACAAUGAUGAGACUAUCAACUGCUUGAGGAUGAAGAAUGACUAAGUACUUCAAGUGACGAUGGCUUAAAGCAUAGUACAAUGCAAGGCGUUAUGCAGAUGUUGGCUGCAAAAAAGAGGAUAGAUCUAGCUUCCAAGGUUAGUUCCAAGCAACAGUAUUGAGGACGACGGGUGUAGAGGGAGGAUGAAACUUCUCUUGAUUGAAAUAGAGUCACAGGCGACCGGCCAUCACCAUUGAUUGGGGUUCACUGGCAAUCACUGAGCACUAACUCCUUACUUUGCGCUCACAGAUGGCGAAAGAGAUGAGUUUCCAACGGAAAAGAUGAGUAAAUCUAUUCAAAUCUGAUGUAGAUCUACUUAAAUCUACAUCAGAUCUGAGUAUAUGUAUAUCAGAUCCUGCUAGAUUUAAAUCAAAAAUAAUUGUCAGAGCAUAAGUUUCUCUCUAUAUCUAUCUUUUUUCUUGGGUCUCUCAGUUUUUUUACUCAUUUUUUUAUUUUAUUUUAUUUUUUGUAUUACACACUUCUAUU